ensembl:lncRNA
AUCGGUUAACGCGCAGCUGCGAGGUUUGUCCCAGUGGAGUUGCCGUAGCAAACCGUCAGAGGCUCGCGCUGCGUUGAGCCGCUCAGAUCGCUUUUCUUCUGAUUAUUGAUGAUCGAUUAGAGAUGAGCCGUCCACGGUAGUGACGUAGUGACAGUCUGGAUGAACGUGUGUGAUGGACUUUGUGCUGUUUGCUCUCAGACUCAUCUCCCGCCAGAUACAAGUAUACACACGUUAGCUUAGCAUGCUAACUGUAAACAGUGUGACUGUAUGUCCAGCAGCUGUUGUUUGGUCAGAAAAAGGUUUCUCCCGAGCAGCAGGAGUGGAGCUCCAGUCUGGACCAGCAGGACCCAGAGCCCCCACACAUUAAAGAUGAACAGGAGGAACUGUGGACUAAUCAGGAGGAAGCUGAUAUCACUGACUUCACAUUCACUCUUGUUCCUGUGAAGCAUGAAGAUGAUGAUGAAGAGAAACCUCAGUCCUCAAAGCUUCAUCAAAGACAAACUGAACAGAUGGAAACAGAAGCUGAUGGACAGGACUGUGGUGGACCAAACAAAGGAGAAGGCUUGUAUGGGAAAUCAAAAUCCUAACUACUACGGCCUUACCAACCUGAGGAAUUUAAGAACAAAGGAACUGAGCCAACGCCCAAAAGGAACGCUGCACAACCCAGUCGUUCUUCACCGCCUGCAGGAGGAAGAAAUUAUCUUCAGGAGGAGACGGAAACACCGAGGUCCGGUCCUUCCAUCUGAUUGGUCCCACUGUGUGAUAGCAGCCGGUCUUCAUCAGCUGUUAGGACUUGCUUGUGUAGUUUUGCCACCGUGUGUGAUCACAGUAUGUCGUAUUCUGGCUCAAUCGGUGGACGAUAAAUGAACCUCGAUUCGCUUGCCGGCCGCUCGUUGAGGGAGAGACGACCGCUGUGUACCACGUAGUUGUUGUGUUUUUCUUUGUUGUCUGCUAAGCGCUCGCUUAGCUUCUUCCCUUUUACUAACCUACAGACACACACACUUACAUACAGCGCCGUGGUAUAGGGGGGAAAGGUGAUGACAAUUCUAAGGGCCCACAGCCCGCUAUAGGGCCCACACACAGCCCCCAGUAGACUCUAUGACAAAAUGGUUAUGCAUACACUGAACUAAUAUAUAUUCAUACGAAUGAAUCCAAAUUAAAACAAAGCCACAAGUCAUACAAUAUUCUAAUUUUAAUCAUUUCAAUAACCCCCUUGGCCCCUUCUUAAAAAAUGGUUUGGUCCACACCGCGGUUCGUUCUUCCCAUAGUUCUUCCUCAUCGGAAUUCAGUAGCGCGAGCGAACUCCAGCAGGGUUAGGAUGCCCCCCAAAAAGCACAAGUCCGGACACCAGAAGAGAGUUGAGAAGGAGGCCAGGAGUAGGAGCAGCAGAGCAGGGGCCCAGGACAUCAACAACUUAUUUUCUAAGAAUGGUGAGAGUAAAACUACCGAGGGCGGCUGAAAC